rnacentral:rRNA from 1 species
UACGGGGGGGGCAAGCGUUGUUCGGAAUUACUGGGCGUAAAGGGCUCGUAGGCGGCCAACUAAGUCGGACGUGAAAUCCCUCGGCUUAACCGGGGAACUGCGUCCGAUACUGGAUGGCUUGAGUUCGGGAGAGGGAUGCGGAAUUCCAGGUGUAGCGGUGAAAUGCGUAGAUAUCUGGAGGAACACCGGUGGCGAAGGCGGCGACCUGGGUCGAUACUGACGCUGAGGUGCGAAAGCGUGGGGAGCAAACAGG